UGUUUGUCAAAUUCAAGUUCGCUAAU
rnacentral:piRNA from 2 species